GGCGAGUAAAGCAGCGAUGCGCUUAGGGAUGGGCCUGCGGCGGAUUAGGUAGUUGGUGGGGUAACGGCCUACCAAGCCGAUGAUCCGUAGGGGGCGUGAGAGCGUGGCCCCCCACACUGGCACUGAGACACGGGCCAGACUCCUACGGGAGGCAGCAGUGAGGAAUAUUGCACAAUGGGCGCAAGCCUGAUGCAGCAACGCCGCGUGAGGGACGAAGGCCUUCGGGUUGUAAACCUCUUUUCUGAGGGACGAGGAAGGACGGUACCUCAGGAAUAAGUCUCGGCUAACUACGUGCCAGCAGCCGCGGUAAAACGUAGGAGGCGAGCGUUAUCCGGAUUUACUGGGCGUAAAGCGCGCGCAGGUGGCUUCGUGAGUCGGACAUGAAAGCUCCUGGCUUAACUGGGAGAGGCUGUUCGAUACUGCGGGGCUUGAGGUUGGGAGAGGGACGCGGAAUUCCCGGUGUAGUGGUGGAAUGCGUAGAUAUCGGGAGGAACACCAGUGGCGCAAGCGGCGUCCUGGCCCACACCUGACGCUGAGGUGCGAAAGCGUGGGUAGCAAACAGGAUUAGAUACCCUGGUAGUCCACGCUGUAAACGAUGUCAACUGGGUGUCGGUAGUUUUACACUAUCGGUGCCGAAGCUAACGCG
rnacentral:rRNA from 1 species